rnacentral:lncRNA from 1 species
GGGAAAAUUUUGGAAAAAUAUUUUUUUUUGCGGGAAAUUUUUUGCAGAAUUUUUUUUGGCGAGAAAAUUUUCUCGGAAAAUGUUUUGGCGGGAAAAUUUUUCGGAAGCGGAAAAUUUUUGGGGGGAAAAUUUUUGGAUGGAAUAUUCCUUCCUUUGGGAAAGAUUAUUCUUUCAAAUAGGGGUAAAAUGGCCAUUAAAAUAUAGGAGAGGGCAAAAAUGAAAA